rnacentral:rRNA from 1 species
UACGGGGGGGGCAAGCGUUGUUCGGAAUUACUGGGCGUAAAGGGCUCGUAGGCGGCCAACUAAGUCAUACGUGAAAUCCCUCGGCUUAACCGGGGAACUGCGUCUGAUACUGGAUGGCUUGAGUUUGGGAGAGGGAUGCGGAAUUCCAGGUGUAGCGGUGAAAUGCGUAGAUAUCUGGAGGAAUACCGGUGGCGAAGGCGGCAUCCUGGACCGACAUUGACGCUGAUGAGCGAAAGCUAGGGGAGCAAACGGG